rnacentral:rRNA from 1 species
GAUGAACGCUGGCGGCGUGCCUAAUACAUGCAAGUCGAGCGAACGGACGAGAAGCUUGCUCCUCUGAUGUUAGCGGCGGACGGGUGAGUAACACGUGGAUAACCUACCUAUAAGACUGGGAUAACUUCGGGAAACCGGAGCUAAUACCGGAUAAUAUUUUGAACCGCAUGGUUCAAUAGUGAAAGACGGUUUUGCUGUCACUUAUAGAUGGAUCCGCGCUGCAUUAGCUAGUUGGUAAGGUAACGGCUUACCAAGGCAACGAUGCGUAGCCGACCUGAGAGGGUGAUCGGCCACACUGGAACUGAGACACGGUCCAGACUCCUACGGGAGGCAGCAGUAGGGAAUCUUCCGCAAUGGGCGAAAGCCUGACGGAGCAACGCCGCGUGAGUGAUGAAGGUCUUCGGAUCGUAAAACUCUGUUAUUAGGGAAGAACAUAUGUGCAAGUAACUGUGCACGUCUUGACGGUACCUAAUCAGAAAGCAACGGCUAACUACGUG